UCGAUUAGAUACCCCCGUAGUCCCAGCCGUAAACGAUGCUCGCUAGGUGUCAGGCAUGGCGCGACCGUGUCUGGUGCCGCAGGGAAGCCGUGAAGCGAGCCACCUGGGAAGUACGGCCGCAAGGCUGAAACUUAAAGGAAUUGGCGGGGGAGCACAACAACGGGUGGAGCCUGCGGUUUAAUUGGACUCAACGCCGGACAACUCACCGGGGACGACAGCAAUAUGUAGGCCAGGCUGAAGACCUUGCCUGAAUCGCUGAGAGGAGGUGCAUGGCA
rnacentral:rRNA from 2 species